CAGAAAGUAGUUUAAUGUAAAAUGCCAGCUUUGGAAGUCGGAGGUUUAAGUCCUCUUUUUCUGA
rnacentral:tRNA from 1 species